CCAUGAUCUCUCAAAGGCAACUGAAAUGGUCAUGCCCUAUUUUUGACCCUGUAACUUAGUUUUGUAGAUCAUGAUCUCAAAAGUGGAAAUGCAGUUUGUGUGUUAAAAAUACAAAAAAAUAAUAAUAUGAACACUAAAUUAAGUUGGGUUUGUGACUAAGUGGUUACUAAAAAAAAGACUUAAUAUCCCAUUUUAAAUAACCUGGAUUGCCUACUUUUGCAAAUGGUAUGCUAUACGGUCUCAAAGGCAACAUAGCCCCAAGCACACCAACGCGGCAAAUUUCAAUAUGUAAAAAGCCCUAUAUUUAAUCAUGUAACUUUCCAAAACACCAUAAAACCAGUAUAUCACAGCAUACACAUAUGUAUGUAUUAUUAUGUAAUAAUUGCGGUUUCUCAUAAACUGCACUGUUGAAACAGACAGUACCUACUGUAUC